GGGAUUAGCUUAGCUGGCUAGAGCGCCUGCCUUGCACGCAGGAGGUCAUCGGUUCGACUCCGAUAUUCUCCACAACGAAUUUUAAUUAAU
rnacentral:tRNA from 1 species